AUGGCGAAGCUUCGUGGUGGUGUUGUGAGCCUCCGAUUCGGUUGUGGGGAUUGCCCCAACCUUGUUUGUAAAGGUUCGAUCACCGCCUUCAAGGGCACCACUAGUGGAAUCACGAUAUUUUGCAUUGUGCGAGGUUGUGAGGAGAAUACGGUGGCCAUAGUGGCUUCUUGGGGAGUAUUGUGCCUCAACACCGCUCCAACAGAAACGUACUUCCCCUCAAAGGGAAGGAACUUCGGUGACACAUCCUCAUCUUCUCCGGAUCCACUUGUGGUUACUUCUUACCUUUACUUUGUGAAGUUUAUUUGUGUUGUUUUCUUUGUUUGCUUGCUUGUGUUGUUCUUGUUGCUAGCAUCAUAUAGGUUGCUCUUCUAG
rnacentral:rRNA from 1 species